rnacentral:lncRNA from 1 species
GCUUUCUCUUUCUCUCAUAAAAUAUCUUCCGAUUAUAGCGAGAUGUAUCAGGAUGAUCGUAUACUUUAGUUGACCCAAUCGCUGCUUGAAUUUGAAGCGAAAACUUCACCUCGGGCAAUGGUCGAAGUCAGUGGUUCAGAUCGGGAGGAUGCCAAGUCUGCCAUAAGGGGAUUUUUAGAUUACUUUGGUCCUAGUACUGAGAAUCUAUCCUAUAUGAUCUCGAUCUUU